rnacentral:rRNA from 1 species
CCUACGGGUGGCAGCAGUGAGGAAUAUUGGUCAAUGGGCGCGAGCCUGAACCAGCCAAGUCGCGUGAGGGAAGACGGCCCUACGGGUUGUAAACCUCUUUUGCCGGGGAGCAAAGGGCGCCACGUGUGGCGCCACUGAGAGUACCCGGAGAAAAAGCACCGGCUACUUCAGUGCCAGCAGCCGCGUUAUUACGGAGGAUGGGAGCGUUAUCCGGGUUUAUUGGGUUUAAAGGGUGCGUAGGCGGAGCUUAAAGUCAGUGGUAAAGUUGAGGGGCUAAACGCCUACCUGCCAUUGAAACUGGCGCUCUUGAGUGGAAGAGAGGUAUGCGGAAGGCGUGGUGUAGCGGUGAAAUGCAUAGAUAUCACGCAGAACCCCGAUUGCGAAGGCAGCAUGCCGGCUUCCUACUGACGCUGAAGCACGAAAGCGUGGGGAUCGAACAGGAUUAGAUACCCCUGUAGUC